GCAGAGGGAUCCUCCUCGCAUCCUUGCCGAGAACACACAUUUUGUGAGAGGAUUGCAGUAGAAUCAAAGGAGAUGGAGGCUUUUUUAAAUAACCAAGACCUAAAACCAACUGAGGUUUCGCAGAGCCAAAGGCGGUAUUUUGAAUGGCAUCUUGAACAAGAGCACAGGUGUAGAAGCCUUAAUGCACAUGGGAAGAACUCCAGUGUAAUCAACAUUCCCCUUUUAGCUAAACUACAGAUGUUCAACCCAACUAUAAGAACAAGUAUGUUUCCUGCUUUUUGGAAGACAGUUUUCAGGCUUUUUGAAGUGGAGGAGCACAAACUUUCAGGA